rnacentral:rRNA from 1 species
CCGUAUGCAGGGGGACAACAGUCAGAAAUGACUGCUAAUACCGCAUAAGCACGCAAUGCUGCAUGGCAUGGUGUGAAAAGAUUUAUCGGCAUACGAUGGCCCCGCGUCUGAUUAGCCAGUUAGCAGGGUAAUGGCCUACCAAAGCAACGAUCAGUAGCCGGCUUGAGAGAGUGACCGGCCACAUUGGGACUGAGACACGGCCCAGACUCCUACGGAAGGCAGCAG